rnacentral:lncRNA from 1 species
UAAAGCGUAAUUAAAAGGUAAUUAGCAUAAAUUAAGUUGUAAGGAAUUUAAGAAAAACCCCCUUUGUUGAUCCUCUUUUUGCUAGUGACACUCCCUCUUGUUGUCUUUGCUUGUUAGCCCUCCAAAUGUGUAUAGUGUUUUGAGAAAGUGUGCUUCGGCUUUGUCUUUGUCUUCUCCUUAGAAUGAAGGUCUUGAUUCUCC